UACGUAGGGGGCAAGCGUUGUCCGGAAUCAUUGGGCGUAAAGCGCGUGUAGGCGGCCUUGUAAGUCCGUUCUGAAAGCCCGGGGCUCAACCCCGGGAGGCGGAUGGAUACUGCAGGGCUCGAGUACGGAAGAGGCGAGUGGAAUUCCCGGUGUAGCGGUGAAAUGCGCAGAUAUCAGGAAGAACACCAAUGGCGAAGGCAGCUCUCUGGGACGGUACUGACGCUGAGACGCGAAAGCGUGGGGAGCGAACAGG
rnacentral:rRNA from 1 species